CUGAGAUUUGGAUACAGACCACAACAAACAGCGAUCGCCAAGUAAUGUGGAGGUUUUCGUUCACUUCUCAUCUCUACUAUGUUAUGGGACACUCGUUGAGACUAUCCGAGCCGGUUUGAAAAUGUAUGCAUAUGUGCGAUACAUUGCUGACAAUGUCCGCAAGACUGUGUCCACAAAAGAAUCCGAAAAUUUCCAUCCCCGAAAUCUGGAUGACUUCAAUGCCAAGAAGCGGUAUAAAACCCUCUGGAGAAGGACCCCAGAGGAAAGCGGCUCUUAUUAUUAUGGGCAAAUUUUAAAAUUGGCAGUUUUAUAGAUCAAACUUGGCCCAGGAGUUUCCCUGAACAAGGAGAAAUGGCAGAGGGUGCAGGAGGCCAAAUCAAACUCCCAAUUCUGCAAGUCGUUGGCAGUUUGCAUUUGGGGCACAGAGGGACUGAGGGAGAGAAGCGUCACAGGGGCCAAAUGAAACGUGGUCAAAGACUCUGUCCACAAGCGUCCCCUGACCCCAGAAAAAGUGUCUGUCAUAAGAGACUGCCUGAGGGACCGGCUUCAGAAGAUGGGCGAUCCAAAGGAGGCCAUUGAACAGCAGCUGGCCCUA